rnacentral:tRNA from 1 species
GGAGAGGUGGGUGAGUGGCUCAAACCAACGGUUUGCUAAACCGUCAUAGGGGGUUAACCUCUAUCGAGGGUUCGAAUCCCUCCCUCUCCGCGA